UACAGGGGGGGGCAAGCGUUGUUCGGAAUUACUGGGCGUAAAGGGCUCGUAGGCGGCCAACUAAGUCACACGUGAAAUCCCCAGCUUAACCUGGGACUGCGUGUGAUACUGGAUGGCUUGAAUCCGGGAGAGGGAUGCAGAAUUCCAGGUGUAGCGGUGAAAUGCGUAGAUAUCUGGAGGAAUACCGGUGGCGAAGGCGGCAUCCUGGACCGGCAUUGACGCUGAUGAGCGAAAGCUAGGGGAGCAAACGGG
rnacentral:rRNA from 1 species